rnacentral:misc_RNA from 1 species
UAUGAAGAACGUAGCGAAAUGCGAUACUUGGUGUGAAUUGCAGAAUCCCGUGAACCAUCGAGUCUUUGAACGCAAGUUGCGCCCGAAGCCACUAGGCCGAGGGCACGCCUGCCUGGGCGUCACACGCCGUUGCCCCCCCAUCUACUCCUUCGGGAUUGCGGGGGGGCGGAUGAUGGCCUCCUGUGCGCCUAGCCGCGCGGUUGGCAUAAAUACCAAGUCCUCGGCGACGCACGCCACGACAAUCGGUGGUUGCGAAACCUCGGUUGCCCGUCGUGUGCGUUCGUCGCGCAUCGAGGGCUCGAAAAAAUGCUCGGCUCCGGCUGGGCUUUCAACGCGACCCCAGGUCAGGCGGGGUUACCCGCUGAAUUUAAGCAUAUCAAUAAGCGGAGGA